AAACAGUGGAAGGCCAGUUAAAAAUAAAUAAAAUAAAUAAAUCAUUGAUGCUGAGUCUCCAGUUUUAAAUGUGGUUUGUCUUAUUUCAUAAAUAUAAUUUUGUUUAUGCCCCGCUUCUGCACAGGAUAGCAAUGGAAUGAGUAGCUGGCAUAUGAGAUGGCGAUCUGGUUCAGGGUUCCUCAGAACAGGCAGUCCUGCAACUGAACGUCAGGCUUCUCCAGGUCUGCAAAAGAAACUUUGGCCAUCCUAAAAUCCUCAACCGCUGUUGAAGCAUCCAUACAGCUUCCUUAACAAGGGUACGGAAGUACUUCUGCAUACAGAGGAAUACUGGGAAUUGAACUUGUGGCAUUCUCCAUUCCAGUUCUACCUUCAUGUUGGAUUUAGGAUUGCAACCUUAGUAAUGGUGCUAGAUUGUCGCCACAAACUCUUCACUUUAAAGAUGCUUUUUUGGAACUCCUACUUUCCCCAGGAUUUGUGCACAGCACUAAUGGUUGGCAGAAAGGCUUCGUUUACCAUUAAGCUCCUCUCCUCGAAGUAA
rnacentral:lncRNA from 1 species